GAUGAACGCUGGCGGCGUGCCUAAUACAUGCAAGUCGAACGGGGAGUAGCACUACUCUUAGUGGCGAACGGGUGAGUAACGAGUUGGUACCUGCCCCGAGGCGGGGGAUAACGAACCGAAAGGACCGCUAAUACCCCAUGUGCUCGGUAACGAGUAACGGGGGAAACCACUUUGGGGGGGGCCUGCGCCCCAUCAGCUAGUUGGUAAGGUAACGGCUUACCAAGGCGAGGACGGAUAGGGGACCUGAGAGGGAGGCCCCACACAAUGGACCUGAAACACGGUCAGUACUCAUACGGGUGGAAGGAGUGGGGACUAUAGGCAAGGGGCGCGAGCCAGAACCAGCAACGCGGCGUGUGCGAUGACCGCCCUCGAGUUGAAAAGCCCUUUUGAUUGGGACGAGGGAGGACGGUACCGGUCGAAUAAGCCCCGGCUAACUACGUG
rnacentral:rRNA from 1 species